rnacentral:siRNA from 1 species
GGAUUAUUUCAAGGAUUUAGUCA